rnacentral:other from 1 species
AGGUCGCUGUCCCGACCGUCUAAGCUCUUCCUACUGACCGUUCAACCAGGGAAUCGCCUCUGUCCGCGGGAGAGCAGGCCCGUUCGGCGGGAAGCCCGAAGCGGUUAAUCGCGAUGCCCACCUGCCAGGGGUAGGGGUUGAGCUUCGUCCUCGUCGGGCAGCGACCUU